UAUGAAUUAGAAUAUUAGCAGCUUGGAGGAAUGUUUUCUAAGCACAGAUCCAUGGAAGAAGCUACAGAGGGAAUAGUCACGGCUCCCAGCUGUGUCAAACGAAAUUCAAAGUGAACGAAAACCAAAUCUGGAACAGAAUUAAAAGGCAAAUACAAAAGGGUAAAUAUUUACAAAUGUUCCCCAGCCUUAAACAGGAGUUUUUGUUUUGUUCUGUUUUAAUCAAAGGGAUGACUCUCCCCCGGCAGAACAUUGUCGGGGGAGGGGCAGCGUCCCUGGUGGGCGUGAGCUAGCUGAGCACUGAUAACGGAGCACAGGACCCGCGUUCCAAAUCCACGCGCCGACCCCGUGCGAGGACCCCUCCCGGCGGCCGGGGCUGUGGCGACACGGUCUGCGGUUACCUACAAGCCAGGGAGGGUGCUCCAGAAAUGGUCCAUGUGCUGAGACCAGGGGCUGGGAACGGAUGGGAGCUGCCGUUUCCCAGGCAUUUCCCGACACCAGGUACCUGUCCAUGGUCGCCCGGCAUCACUGCCUGCGGGCAGGGUCGCUCCUGGAGGUGCCCAGGGAUCGAGAGCUUGUCCCUGGCCUCUCACAGCGGGGUGGAGUCCGAACGUGUCCUGGAGAUGCCUAUGGCUGCCCCGUUCUGAUCUCUGCCUCCUUCCUCUCCUGUCCUCCUGCCUGUGUCUGCUCUCUCUUCUUUCCUUCAUGGAUUCUAGGCAUAGGGAGAGGUCGACAGACACAGAGCUCCUACCUACCGGUUCGUUCCCCAAACACUCUCAACAACUGGGGCUGGGCCAGGCUGAACCCCAGAGUUGGGGACACACUCCCGGCCUCCCACGUGGACGGCGGGGACCCCAGCGCCUCGGCCGCCACCUGCUGCGUUCCGGGUGUGCGUUAGCAGGAAGCCGGAUUGGAAGAGAGGACUGGAGGCUUCAGUCAUGUAGUUUGAUAUGGGAUGGAGUCACUGGGCCAGGCCAGCCCAGUCUAGACCGAAGUUUAAUGAAUUUUAUUGGAAGAGGACCCUUUCCUACAAAAGGCCAUGGUCUGAGGCUCUGAAUGGACGCUGUUUUGAUGGACAACAAUCAACCCAGCGCAGCCCAGCCCUGCUCCAACAGGGAGAGCCCCACCCUCCCAGGUCUUCAUCCUGCCCGCUCCUUGUAGAAUUCAAUUGUCAUUUCAUCAGGUGGAGUUUUUGCUUUUUUUCAUUUAGUAAAAACAAACAAACAAACACACACUUAUUCUAAAUACAAUGUGGCAGCCUGAAUUGGAUGCUGGAACAGAAAAAAAUUUAGUUGAAAAUGUGGUGCGUAAUUUGAAUAAAGUCUGUAGUUAAAUUUCAAGUAAUUUUCUAUGUCAAUUUCUGGUUUUUAGCAAAUUGACCAUGGUUAUAUAAGAUGUUAACAUGAGGAGACCUCCGUACUAUCCACGCAACUUUUCUACUAAUCUAAAAUUGUUCCAAAAUUUUUGAGAACACAAUGAUUAAAAUAAACAUUUCUCAGCAAACAGG